CUGAACAAAUUUCUUCAUAAACUUGCUAUCUGCAAUUGUAGUAAUAGUCGGAAGAUAACAAGUAUGUCAUAAAGUUCUAGAAACCGUGACAUGUACUACAACAAACCUAAUAACAAUCAUUUAUGAAACGAUGGAAUAAUUUUCACAAGAUUAACCAUACAUCUUGUAGCUUACAAUAACCAAACCAUUCAUAUGUUACGAUCAUCCAUAUAGCAAAUUUAAAUCACCCGUUCAAGUCAAACCCUUUCUUCUCCCAUCAUACUUCGCAAUUCCUAUUCCCUUGCAGAGAGUCAGGUGUAUUGAUAUGUUUACGUCACAUUUCUUGCUUAUUCGAGCUAGCUUGUCCAAGAUGCUUGGCAACUCUUCAUCUUUCUCGUUGGGCUCAUGAUUCACCAAUUCAAGAACGGAACUCGACUCCCCACUUAAAACUUCUUCUUUCAUCUAAACGAAAUAUCUACAAUCUUUACUACUAGUGAAGAACAAUCGCCCUUGUUACUAGUAUUACAUUCGACCUUAAAACAUUUUCAAUAUCCUUGUUUACACGAAUGGCAUCGUCAUUUUGUUUGGCAUUGUCCAAAGUAAUGAGUGUUGCUUUUGCAAUCGUGACAAACCCCUGAAUUCCUUCCUCUCAUUCUAGUCAAUAACUGCUCAAUAAAUAAACAAUCAUGAAUGCAAUUUAAUUACAAAAUCCCACAUCAACCACCUAAACCUCAUCAACCUUGUCAAAAACCAUUACCCAAUUCGAUUGACGACAUUAACCAAUCAAAACCAAGGUAGUAAAGGAAGAGAUCGAUGACCAACAUUAACCUAUCAAAGCCAAGAAUUCUGCUUAUAAAAUAAGGCAUUCCAUAAAGAAGUUCACAAAGGUGCCAUCAUUACAUAUUGUUCCCAGAACUUCAAAGUUCAAACCCUACAAGAAAAGUAUAAGACACAAUAAAACCUUGAACCCAAUAAAAACACAUAUAUGCAGCAAGAUUUGGUCAAAAAAUGGGAAAUUUCUUCUUCUUCUUCUUUGGCAUUUUUGAGGAGAUAGGAAUGUAAAAAGAGCGGUAGAGACAAUGUAUAUAGUAGUUCUCACUAAGGAAAUCAGAUUAUUAUUAUUCUUCUACAAAAAUUUUGAACCAGAGGAAGGAGAAGCCACUGGUUAAACAAUUCGACCUUCUGUCUAAAUGAAAACCAAAUGAAAUCAUAUUAUUGAGGGCGAACAUAGAUAAAUUCAACACUGUGGAGAUGAAAUUUAGAAGAAUUAAAAAAAAAAAUACGGAGCAGAGUGUGACCGUGAAGGGAAGUGAGUGCGGUAUCAGUGAUGGAGGUAAGUGCAUCACCGGUCGACAUUAACAGUGAGUGCAGUGAGCAGAAUAGUGAUUUGGGGGAAAUGUGAAAGUCAAUUUCGUGAGUGGAUUUGGGGGGAAUAUGAGAGAUGGACGAAAAUGGGAAUGAU
rnacentral:lncRNA from 1 species